rnacentral:rRNA from 1 species
UGCCGCGUGUGUGAAGAAGGCCUUCGGGUUGUAAAGCACUUUCAGCGAGGAGGAAAGGUUAGUAUUUAAUAAAUACUAGCUGUGACGUUACUCGCAGAAGAAGCACCGGCUAACUUCGUGCCAGCAGCCGCGGUAAUACGAGGGGUGCAAGCGUUAAUCGGAAUUACUGGGCGUAAAGCGUGCGUAGGUGGUUUGUUAAGCAAGAUGUGAAAGCCCCGGGCUCAACCUGGGAACUGCAUUUUGAACUGGCAAGCUAGAGUAUUGUAGAGGGUAGUGGAAUUUCCAGUGUAGCGGUGAAAUGCGUAGAGAUUGGAAGGAACAUCAGUGGCGAAGGCGGCUACCUGGACAAAUACUGACACUGAGGCACGAAAGCGUGGGGAGCAAACAGGAUUAGAUACCCUGGUAGUCCACGCCGUAAACGAUGUCAACUAGCCGUCUGUAGACUUGAUCUGUGGGUGGCGUAGCUAACGCGCUAAGUUGACCGCCUGGGGAGUACGGCCGCAAGGUUA